UGUGUUUGUGUGAGAGGGUGUGUGUUUCUCUCCCAGGGUGCCCACAGUUCCGGGCAGGGUCUGUCCCUCCCUGUGGGUGACGGCGACGGCAGGAGACCUGAGGUAAGAGUGGCCGGGGUGGGGUGGAGCCGUGUCCUCUAGGCCUGGCCUGGUUGGCUGCUUUGGGGUAAUUCCCAGGCUCUGGGGUGUCAUGAGCCUGGGAGGGAGGCAUGAGUCACUCCUCCCCUCCCACUGCCCUAGAGAAACUUCUUCCCUGUCCCCGGGGCCAGGUUUCGCCAGAAGCCAUAAAGAGGCCUGCGCAAGCCUCUUCCGUUUUCAGAGCCUCCCAGAGUCUCAGAGGGAGAUGCUGUCGUCCUGCUUGCCUGGAUGAGAAAAUUGGGUCCCAGAAGAUGAGUGAAGGGGCCAAGACCUGGGUCUGCUCGACCUUCAGAGAUUCUUCUGGAUGCCUGGCAGGGGUCUGGCGGACCCGCACAGACCAGCGAGGAGCAAAGAAGGUUCAGAAGGCAGCAGAGAGCCUUAGGGUUGGAUGAGACACUUUAUCUGUCCCUUCCCCAGGGACACUCAGGGAGCUGGGCACGAGCACUGUGCACGCACGUGCGCCUGUGCGCUUGUGUGUGUUUGUGAUCAAAGACUUGGCUGAGCCCCUGGGGACCCUGGUCUCAGAAGUCCUAGUGGAACCAGAGCUGAGGGGCUGUUGGUUUGGGACACGAACUUGGCUCUUUCCUCCUCAAGCUUUUCAGCUCACAAAGCAUUUUCAUAUCCCCAUCUUAUUUCACAUCUGGGGGAGGUGCUAACGCCUUCAGUUUUCAAAGAGAGGUGAUGCUCAGAUGUGGGGCUGGCUUCUCCCAAGGUCACAGGGCUGGUGAGAGGUUAUGGGCAGGGAUGGGUGAGACGAUCUGGUUGGGAAAGAGGGUUAUCAUAGAUUUAAAAAAACAGCAUGUGGUGGCUCAGUGGUAAAGAACCCACCUGCCAAGGCAGAAGAUGCGAGUUUGAUCCCUGGGUUAGGAAGAUCCCCUUGAGAAAUAAAUGGCCACCCACUCCAGUAUUCUUGCCUGGAAAAUCCCAUGGACAGAGGAGCCUGGUGGGCUACAGUGCAUGGGGUCACAAAAGAGUUGGACACGACCUGGCAACUCAACAAGUGUAAGAUACAAUUCUAUUGGCAUAAAAUUAGUGUCUGUUGGGAGAAAGAAAAAGAAGUAAGUGUUAACCCUGCCCUCCCAGCCUCAAAAGCAAAAGUGGUGAAUGGCAGACACAUUAUUAAAGUGUCACAGUGAAAGGUUGUCUAAGCUGUUGGGAGGACCAGGCUUGGGGAGCCGGAGUGGGUGUAGCAGAAGUGUUCUGGCUUCGCUGGUGUUUUUCCUUUUCCUGGGAGGGACCCAGCCAGUGUCUCCUGGCAUAAAUGAAGCAUCAACAAAUAUCUCUCCAGCUCCACUCCAUGUGCAGAGGGUUCAUGGCUCCCCCAGGACUGGCUCCUGAUUCUCUUUCAUACCUGGGCACCUCCAGCUCUGCCUGAGCUCCCCCGCAGAGCCCCCCUACCAACUCCCCCUCACAUCCCUCCUUCGCUGUGGGCUCGUCCUCUGCUUGGGGCUCUCCUGCAGCUGUCAACCCCUCUAGCUCUCAGCCCCUCCCCCACCUCUGAUGUGCUUGGCUGAGCUGGGUAGGGAAGGACAGCUUCUUAGUCACUUCUGUUGGGCCACACGUAGAAAGUGCUAGGGCCUGUGUGCUUCCCCACCCCCACUCCUGCUUCUCCAAGUGCCAGCUGACGGUGUCCCAGAACAAGAGCCGGAAGUUGGCGGGGGCUGUCGUGGGGUGAAUGAAGGUCUGCCCAUCUGGCCAAUUCACUCCUGUAGGCAGAAACCUUACAGAAGGGCUGGGAAGACCGACCCGCCCCGUGUUGGGCAAGCUCUCCCCCUCCCCAGCCCUCUCUGGGCCUCAGUUUACCCGUCUGUGCAGAGGCAGUAAGAGUCUUUGCCCAGUUCACUGAUGGGCAGGCUGUGAUGAGGUCAUCCCAGAGAAGCACUUAUCGUGCAUCUCAAAGGGCAGUUAUCUCUGUUGCUCAGUCCACAGCCUGUUUGUGUGCCGUUCCUCAAAGCCUUGUAAGGAAAAUGCCAGCAAGGCGUGGUCCUGGCAGAAACCAUCCCUGUUUGUGUUGCUGUGUGUGCUUGGGAGUGAGGGCGGGGGAGGGGAACCAGAAUAAUGCCUCCUGCCUUACUGAGCACCCAGUACGUGUCAAACCGGGCACUGAGCUCUGAGGUUGAAUAUCCUCAGGAGCCCCCAGAAUCAUCCAGCCCCAAGUCUGACGCCCUGGGGCGGAGGCUGGGUGUCUAAUCUGACCCAGACAGUGUUGUUUGAGCUUCCUGAAAGAGAGCUUGCGUGACUUGGGUGGAAGCCUUCUGUGAGCUAUCUGAAGCGUGCUGCUGGCCGGUGGAGCCCCCAGCCUUGUAGGGGAGACUGAAGUGUUUACAGCCAACCACAGUACAGGACUUCAGCUUCUCCAUCAAGCUAGAUGAUCCCUGCCAGCCCUGCGGUUCCAUGGGC
ensembl:lncRNA